rnacentral:misc_RNA from 1 species
GAUGAAGAACGUAGCGAAAUGCGAUACGUAAUGUGAAUUGCAGAAUUCAGUGAAUCAUCGAGUCUUUGAACGCACAUUGCGCCCCCUGGUAUUCCGGGGGGCAUGCCUGUCCGAGCGUCAUUGCUGCCCUCAAGCACGGCUUGUGUGUUGGGCCUCCGUCCUCCUCCCGGGGGACGGGCCCGAAAGGCAGCGGCGCCACCGCGUCCGGUCCUCGAGCGUAUGGGGCUUCGUCACCCGCUCUUGUAGGCCCGGCCGGCGCUUGCCGACACAUCAAUCUUUUUUCCAGGUUGACCUCGGAUCAGGUAGGGAUACCCGCUGAACUUAAGCAUAUCAAUAAGCGGAGGA